CGAAUAGCGGCCGUCAGGUGGCACUUCGAUCGAUUAGUAGUGCGCGUCGCUUUCCGCCAUCUUUAGUUGUCGGAUCCGUGGCUGCUCCGAAAGUAGUGACAGAGUAUUAGAUAGAUAUCACGAAGAUUUCUUUGGAAUUUUAAGUAAGUGCGAUUAGAGAGGAGAGGAGAAACUUGUGUUAAGGCAGGAGAGGAGGAGAGCCCGAGGCAUUGAGUGAGUCAGCCGUUACAUCGCCGGCUCGUAUCGCAAAGUUUUACGGAAUUGUACUCCGGUGAACCUUGCAGUACGGUGUGGAUAGACUCACCUGCCGGAACCAUGAGUUAUCAAAUGUCAUCCAAUCAAUCAAGACCAAUGUCCCAUGGAAAUUACCAGGGUCCGGGUGAUCUACCCAUGGGGUCGGCAAAAGAGCAGACACUGCUAUGGCAACAGAAUUCUUACAUAGCAGACUCUGGUAUCCAUUCAGGGACGGUAACACAGGCACCAUCUCUGUCCGGUAAGGAAGAUGAUGAAAUGGAAGGAGAUCCGUUGAUGUUUGACUUAGAUCAAGGAUUUGCACAAGGAUUUACUCAAGAUCAAGUUGACGAAAUGAAUCAACAGUUGAGCCACACUCGAUCUCAGAGAGUCCGGGCUGCCAUGUUUCCAGAAACAUUGGAAGAAGGUAUAGAGAUACCUUCUACUCAAUUUGAUCCGGCACAACCUACUGCUGUUCAGCGGUUGGCAGAACCGAGUCAAAUGUUGAAACAUGCAGUGGUCAAUUUAAUAAAUUAUCAAGACGAUGCAGACCUAGCUACUAGAGCAAUACCAGAAUUAAUAAAACUCUUAAAUGACGAGGAUCAAGUAGUGGUUUCUCAAGCAGCCAUGAUGGUCCAUCAACUCUCGAAAAAGGAAGCAUCUCGUCAUGCAAUUAUGAACAGCUCUCAAAUGGUGGCUGCUUUGGUGCGUGCUAUUUCCAACAGCGAUGAUUUGGAAUCGACAAAAGCAGCUGUUGGCACGUUGCACAAUUUAUCCCAUCAUAGACAAGGUCUUUUAGCCAUAUUCAAAAGUGGUGGUAUUCCUGCACUUGUAAAGCUGUUAAGUUCUCCUAUGGAAUCCGUAUUGUUCUAUGCUAUAACAACGUUACACAAUUUGCUCCUUCAUCAAGAUGGCUCAAAAAUGGCUGUACGACUGGCUGGUGGUUUACAGAAAAUGGUUGCGCUACUUCAAAGAAACAAUGUAAAAUUUCUAGCUAUAGUGACAGAUUGUCUUCAAAUACUUGCUUACGGUAAUCAAGAGAGCAAAUUGAUCAUACUCGCUUCUCAAGGACCGAUAGAAUUAGUACGCAUUAUGCGUUCCUAUGAUUAUGAAAAAUUAUUAUGGACAACGUCUAGAAUUUUAAAAGUAUUAUCCGUAUGUCCUAGUAAUAAACCAGCGAUCGUAGAAGCUGGUGGUAUGCAAGCUUUAGCAAUGCAUCUUGGUAAUCCGAGUCAAAGAUUUGUACAGAAUUGCUUAUGGACAUUACGAAAUUUAUCGGACGCCGGUACCAAAGUCGACGGACUCGAAGGAUUACUUCAAAGUCUCGUACAAGUUCUUGGCUCAACGGAUGUUAACGUUGUCACGUGUGCAGCAGGAAUUUUAUCCAAUCUUACAUGUAAUAAUCAACGGAACAAGGUUACAGUGUGUCAAGUAGGAGGCGUCGAUGCUCUCGUCCGCACAAUUAUCAAUGCCGGAGAUCGCGAAGAAAUAACCGAACCAGCUGUCUGCGCUUUACGUCAUUUAACAUCGCGCCAUGGUGAAGCAGAAAUGGCACAGAAUUCAGUCCGUUUGAAUUACGGGAUUCAAAUAAUAGUCAAAUUGCUAAAUCCUCCUUCACGUUGGCCAUUGGCGAAAGCAGUUAUUGGUCUGAUCCGUAAUCUCGCCCUUUGUCCUGCGAAUCACGGACCACUUCGGGAUCACGGAGCGAUUCAUCAUCUGGUUAGGCUUCUGAUGCGCGCUUACCAGACAACACAACGGCAGAGAACGUCAGUGGCCAUUACUGGUAAUCAACAGGCACCAGCGACGUAUGCGGAUGGAGUUCGUAUGGAGGAAAUAGUCGAAGGCACUGUUGGAGCUCUUCACAUUCUUGCAAGAGAAUCACACAAUAGGGUCAUUAUCCGAUCGCAGAAUGUUAUUCCGAUAUUCGUGCAGCUAUUAUUCAAUGAAAUUGAAAAUAUUCAACGCGUCGCAGCUGGCGUGCUUUGCGAGCUUGCGGCUGAUAAAGAAGGUGCUGAGAUGAUCGAACACGAAGGUGCGACAGCUGCCCUAACGGAAUUGCUGCACUCUAGAAACGAAGGUGUUGCAACGUAUGCAGCAGCCGUACUCUUCCGCAUGAGCGAGGACAAACCUCAAGAAUAUAAGAAACGACUCUCCAUGGAAUUAACGAACUCCUUGUUACGCGAGGAUACGAAUUUAUGGAACAAUACUGAUUUCGGCAUGGGUCCAGAUCUACAGGACAUGCUUGGCCCUGAUCAAGGCUAUGAUGGUAUGUAUGGACAAGGACCUCCUAGCGUACACAGCAGCCAUGGCGGCCGUGGUUAUCAACCACAAGCAGCUUAACCCACGGAGUUUAAUUAAAAUACAGGCUAUCAACCGUAUCUCGCAGUAACAUAGGUUAUGACCAGAUACCAGUAGAUUCGAUGCAAGGAUUAGAAAUAGGCGGAGGAUCGACAUACGGUGCAAUGGACACUAUGGAUGUGGCGCACGAAGGUGACCUGAGUUUCGAUCAUUUGGAAGAACUUCCGGCGCCACCCCAGGAUAAUAAUCAGGUUGCAGCUUGGUAUGACACUGAUCUUUGAAUCCGUAUCAUCGCCCAAUCUCUUCCGGGAGCUACGAUUUCGUGAAAAUUUUUCAAAGGGACAACAACCAACAAACAAACAAACAAAAAUACGAAAAGGAUAAAAAAAAAAAAAAAUCAUAGAGGAUUUUGAUACAAGACGUACGUUUUAUCGGCAUCGUCUGUGAUUUUAUUCUCACCCUGUGUAUAAUAUCGAUAGAAUAAUUAUAAUUUUCAACGAAAUUCUUAAGCGUUUCGCGCGCGAUACGAAUGGUGUAUACGAAAAUUGAAAAUAUAUCGAUUAAUAUGCUGUCAAUGUUAAUUAACAAACAAAGAAGAUAGUGUAACGCUCAAAUAUAUAUAUAUAUAUAUAUAAAUAUAAAUAUGUGUGUAUAUAUAUAUGUAUGUGGGUUGGAGAUUCGUCAUUGUUGCCGGCAGUCGAUCGCACUCACGACCUGGAAAAUUACAAGAAAAAAUCAACAAAAAGAACAUUUUCAAUAAAAAUGACACAAGGAAAAACUAUUAAAGACAUAUCUAACCGCGAGAAAUUCUCCGUGGAUUUUUAUCAAUUAUAAAAAUAAAUAUAAAGAAGGAAAACAAUCGAAGCAUCGAUUUUCUAACUUCCGUUUUACACAUUGUCUUAUUUAUUUUAUUUUUUUUUCUCUUUCUUUCUUUCUUUCUUUUUUUUUUUAUGUAAUCAAUCGAAAAAGUUGUUAACUCCGUGUACCGUAGGAAUAAGACGGUAUUAAACGUUUAAAAAAAAAAAAAUAAAAAAGGAAAAGAAAAGAAAAAAAAGGGACGGAAAGAAACAGGGUGAGAAAUGGUUGGAGCAGGGAUGAAAGAUUGAUGAAAAAAAUAUUAUAAUAAUACUAUUAAUAACAAUAUUAAUAAUAAUAAUAAUAAUAAAAAUAGAAACAAACAACGCGAUUCAUGAAAAAGAAGAAGGAGAAGAUGGUUGAUGAUGAUGAUAACGACGUUAACGCAUUUAUAUAUCUCUGUAAGACAGUAUUUUAUUUAAAAAAAAAAAAUCAUUGUUCUCUCGUAUCACGUGCAUUAGUGUGUUUUCAGAAAAAUACGAUUCGACUAGGAAAAAAAAAAAAAGAAGAAGAAGUUAAGAAAUAAAGAAAGCGAGUAAUAGCACACAAAAAUGAUAAAAGAAAACGAACUUAAAAAAAGAAAAAAAAAAGAGAAAAGAUAAGUAUAAGAAGAAGAAGAAAAAAAUGAUGAUGAUCAGGAUGAUAAAGAUAAAAGAAACUGUAUUGCCUAAUACUUAUUAAUCCCCCCGAAAUAUUCACUGUAUCAUAUACUUCUUUCGAAAGUUGUGAUUUGUAACCAAACUGCAAAAUAACGACCUAUUUAUACCGCUAUCCCCGAAAUGGUAGUGUCAAUCUCGUAUUUUACAGGGUAGUUAUACUUAAUUUUUAUUAUUAUCAUUAAAGUAGAUUCGCAAUCGGAACUGAACUUAUUACUAUUGGCCAUUGAUAAUCUUAGUCGAUGGUCUCUGUAAAAAUUCUUCCGAUUGCUAUCGAUGUAUUAGAUUUAAGGAAUGAUAAUUAUGAUGAUGAUUAUGAUUAUGAUGAUGAUGAUGAAAAAUAAAGUAAAAUAACAAAAAAAAAUGUGAGAGAGACAAAAUGGGGAGAUCAAGAGACACAUAGAUCGAGCGAAAGAGAGAGAGAGAGAGUGAGAGAGAGGGAUGCAAAAAAAAAAGAUAAUGAGAGAGAGAGCAGGACACGUAAUUCGUACACAUCAUGUAUAUGUAUCGUUUAAUUGUCCAUACGAAUAAACUGAACGAUUAAGUACUCGAA
rnacentral:misc_RNA from 1 species